GGGCCGGAAGUCGGGCGGGACUUGGAGGGUCAGUUGCGGUUGAUUUGGGCAGCAGACUAUGGUAACGGGUCCCUCCUAUAAACACCGUGCCGGGUACGACUUCCCUUGAUGAGUUCACUAGACGAAGCCUCCGCCUGGGAAGCGUCAUCUGGUGUCCCCAGUGCAGCGUGGAGGCGGCGGGAUGCAGAUUCGGCUACACAGCGCGAAGCUGGUUCGAACUGGGGCAGAGUUCGAACCUCUGGAGAGUUUGUGAGGAGGCGUGUGAGGGUUUGUGCAGGAGGUGGAGACUUGACAGGCAUCACCUAUACCCAACCCCCUCAGAGUGCGUUCCGAGGAGGCAGAGGUGACGCCCUCGGCUCCUAGACCAUUUCCUUGGACUCCUGUGGUACAGGCUUGUCUGCGUGACACUCUGCUGUGGCCCACCUGGAUCUUCAGUCUGUGGGCCCCCCUGUGCUACACUGUUAAACUGGAAGCCAUCCACCCUCACCAUCAGCAGCCAGGUACUGGGAACCAUUCUCCACUGGUGUCUUCAUUCUGGAAUGAUGAUGACCGCCUCACCCGAAGCUUGUCUUUAAGGAAUCAUCUGUGUUAGGCUUCAUGCACAGACUCAAGAGGCCAGAGCUGGAUGCCAGGGACCUGACUUCUCUUAGCCCCUUGUACUGUGGAGCCAAUAGACUUUGCUGAGUGUGAUCUGAAGGAGUGGCUGAAGGGUUCUCAGAACCUUGUCCUGACCAGCGGGCAAACGGAAAGUGCGUCCUUCUGUGAAGAGUCCCAGGAAGGGCAGGCGGUCCUUGCUGGUCUUCAGCUUCUCUGCAGUUAUCAGCUAGGGGCUGCCCCAGUCCUUCCAUAAGAUGAGGUUCCCUGCUCCCACUGCUUCCUCCUCUGGAUUGCACAACCGAGGAGGAGCCGUUCUACCCCAAGGAGCACAUUUCUGAAGAUAUCUGGAAUCACAGGCAGAAAUACCAACACCCGUCUGUUGGUGAUGUUUCUCCAGCCCCUAAGUUUGGAGGGCUCUGUGAUGAACUAUUAGAAACUGACUGCAAUGUCUCUGAAGCUGACAGCCUGCUCCAGCCCCUCUACUGGUAGGGACACCUCACACCAGGGACUAUGUUCCUGAAGAGACCCUUAGGGGAGAAACGUCUGCUUUGCAAUGGUUUUGACACAAGCUUCAGCUUGAGCCCAUGUCCGCUAGUGUGUCAGGGAAUCUCUUCAGAAGAGAGGCCACGUCCACAUGACACUGCAGAGAACUCUCAGUACAAUAGGGGGCUAACUGGCCAGGAGAGCCUUCCUACAAUUGAAAGCCCACUCAUAUGUACUGAGUGUGGGAAGGCAUUCAGAGGAACCCUUGACCUUGAUCAGCAUCAGAGAGCCAACCCGGGAGAGCCAUCUUUAAUGUGUUCUGAAUGUGGAAAGGCCUUUAGCCAAAACUCUGACCUUAAAAGCCACUGUCAACCUUGCCUCCCUGGGAAAGCCUACCAGUGUGGCAAGUGUACAGAAGUCUUUGUGGGGCACACAGAUUUUGAUAGGCAUCAGGUUCAGCACCACAAUGAAUAAUAUGUGUGUAACGAAUGUGGAAAAGCCUUCAGCCAGAACUUAAGCCUUCAAAACCACCAAAAGUCUCAUGUGAUGGAGAAACCUUAUGAGUGCAAUGAGUGUGACAAGGCUUUUGGGCGGAGCUCGAGCCUCAUCCAACAUCGAAGAAUCCAUUCUGAAGAAAAACCAUACGUAUGCAGCUGGUGUGGGAGAGCCUUCAGACGGAGCUCAAACCUCCUCAAACACCACAGGAUUCACACAAGUGAAUCCUUUUGAGUGCAGCAAGUGUGGUAAAGCCUUCAGCCAGAGUGCACACCUCAGGAAGCAUCAGAGAGUUCACACCGGAGAGAAAUCUUACGAGUGUAAAGAGUGUGGCAAGUCCUUCAGACGCACCUCAAACCUCAUUAAGCAUCACCGGGUUCAUACAGGAGAGAAACCUUACUCGUGCAGUGACUGUGGGAAAGCAUUUAGCCAGAGUUCUAGCCUUAUUCAGCACCGGAGAAUUCACACUGGUGAGAAGCCUCACGUGUGCAAUGUGUGUGGGAAAGCCUUCAGUUACAGUUCUGUGCUCAGAAAGCACCAAAUAAUUCACACGGGAGAGAAGCCGUACGGGUGUGGUGUCUGUGGGAAAGCCUUCAGCCACAGCUCAGCCCUCAUCCAGCAUCAGGGUGUGCACACUGGAGACAAGCCCUACGAGUGCCACGAAUGUGGGAAGACCUUCAGUCGAAGCUCUAACCUCAUCCUGCACCAUCGAGUCCACACCGGGGAAAAACCUUAUGAAUGUACGGAAUGUGGAAAAACCUUCAGCCAGAGCUCAACCCUCAUUCAGCACCAGAGGAUUCAUAACGGACUGAAACCUCAUGAAUGUAACCAGUGUGGCAAAGCCUUCAACAGAAGUUCAAAUCUCAUUCACCACCAGAAAGUACACACUGGGGAGAGGCCCUACACGUGUGUUGAAUGUGGCAAAGGCUUCAGCCAGAGCUCACAUCUCAUUCAACACCAGAUAAUCCACACUAGAGAGAGGCCCUAUCAGUGCAGCGAGUGUGGCCGAGCCUUCGGUCAGCGUUCCGUCCUUACCCAGCACCAGAGGACUCACACUGGAGUGAAGCCCCACGCCUGCUCGGCGUGUGGAAAGACUUUCAGCCAGCCGUCCAAGUUGGCUAAACACGAGCUGACUCAUAAGGAGCAGCCUGGAGACUGGGAGGGGUGAAGCUCCAUUCCUCUGUUCUUCUGACCCUGGUUUCAGCCGCCCCACUCCCAGCUGUGUGGCCAGUUCACUGAUUACUGUGUCCAGCUGUCACAGAACCUGGGGCCUCCCUUGGAUCACCCUUCAGGGCUCCCCUGCUGUUGUGGCCACCUCGUGUGGCCUCUCAUCUGCAUUUUGUUGUUCUUAUGGUUUGGAAACAGACUUGUGUUAGUCAGAAGGAAAAGAUGACGAAGGCUUCAUGAUCGGAGUUUAUUAUCGUAAUCAAAGGGUGUGAAAAUUGGUGAUGCGACCUUUGUGACGAGAAAAACCUCACAGAGUCUGCUGUUGUUGUUGUUUAGCCUCAGUUAUAGGGAGUGAGUUGGGAUUCAGUGUCGUUGAGUUUGUUUACCUGAGGACUGGGUGAGGGGUUUUCGCAUCCAUUUGCCGUCUUCCCAGGGGUUAUACUGCAGUUGCUGUUCCGUCCCACCUGAUGUCUUAUACCAGAGCUUCCUGUAGUCCUGUGUUCACUCAUCUUGAGCCAGGUUAGUCUCCUCCUCACCGCUCUCUGAGCCCAGGCCUCCAGCUGCUGUGUCUCUGGGGCAGGACCCCAGAAGCACUCUCCUCAGCACAUCUCUGCAGGUUCUGGCCACCUUUUCACAGUGUGGCCAUCAUCAGUCAGAGCACUCCCUGUUCCGUCUCAGGCAGUGCAGAUAUCCAGAACUGAGCUCACACUGGUCUACAGGAGGAUUUCUGGCACUGAGAAGAAAGCCAGCAUUCUUCCUAGCUCUCUCACUUCCUAGCCCUGGCUGCUGCGCUCUCUCUCUCUCUCUCUCUCUCUCUCUCUCUCUCUCUCUCUCUCUCUCUCUCUCUCUCUCUCAGCUCUGCACUGCUCCAGAUGUCUUUCUUCCGCACGAUUACAUCCUUAUCCCUAGUGAAGGAGCUGCCAUGUUGGCAGUUCCUUUACUGUGCCCUUUCCUUUACAUCUGAUGCCGAAGCCCUGCUCAAACUGGACUACAGAAAGAUUCCUGGAUAUUUAAACUGCCCAAACCCCAAAACUGUCUAGGUGCGCGCACACACACACACACACACAGUACCAGCUCACUAACCUCUUAGUUUUCCCAGAGCUGUGCCCCUAGGCUCUGAACAGGAGAAAGCUCGGGUACAGCAUACCUGUCCCCAGCAAGGUCCCUAGGUACCAGCUACUAGGUAGACAUAAGAGCGUAGACCAAAGUCAGCCUCUGUCAGUAAGUAAACCUUUGUCGCCCAUGCCCGUUUGCUCGCAAAUAUCCGGCAGCUUUUGCAUGUCAGAAUUAAGUGUCACCACAGAUACCCUGUGCUCUGAAACGCUGGAGCAUUUACAUUGUGGCCCUUUCAAUGAUGUUCCUAGCUUUGCCCCAGGAUGCCGCCCUCAGCAUAGGGUGCAUUACCUGCUAGCAUAGCAGGCUCUCAGGGUUAAGUUGUGAAGAGCGGCUCAGACUCCUGCAGGAACUGAACCAUUCUGUGACUAGAAACCUCAGUAUGUGGUGUGCUUGCCUGAGAACAGUGGAUGGGUCCUGCUCUGAGCCAUGAAGGCACCGCCACACGGUAUUGCUCUCUUCCUGCCCCUUCCUUGGCACAGUACAUUUUCUAGAGAAGUAAGACCUUGAAUGGACAUGAGCUCUUCAUGUCGUAAAACUUACGAAGGCAGAGUGGGCCUGGUACGUGCAUACUUCCCUAGCUCCAUGUUCAUUUGCAGACUAUUAGAAUCUCAGAAUCACAAGGAGAGCCAAACAUCAAGGAAAGGCUCCGGACAUGCAUGGAACUGUCUAUAUGGUUGGGAAUCCCACCAUCAGGCCAGGGUCAGCGUCAGCUUCUCUGUUUAACCUCGCUUUGGUGUGGUGUCCAGUACAGCUGCAGUCACCAUUGUCACUGGCUGCUGUCCACUGAUGGGAGACUGCAAGACAUGGGCCCUAUACAGAAAGGCAGCAAACUCUCAGGGCUUCCCGUGACGUUUGGAGUAAUUGAAGGUGUCCACUAUGGCUGUCGUGAUUGUAUUGUAAUUUUUGUAAUUUUACACAGAGAACUGUGUAUGCAGACACAUUCAGAGAUCCCCUUUAAAGUUUGUUGGGGGUUUUUUUUGUUUUGUUUUUUAAAUCGUGUCCUUCUAUAGACAGUUUUGUUUCGGUUUGGUUUUGGGUUUUUGUUUUUGUCUGAGCAACACGAUGGUACAGUGUUAGUCAGCAAGCGGCUGUUCAUGGCAUACUUUAAUCUCUAAACUUUAUUAUUAUUUGGACAGUUUUUUCAGUGCUUUUCUAUGUAAAAAACAGAAAUAUUU